rnacentral:rRNA from 1 species
AGAUUGAACGCUAGCGGGAUGCUUUACACAUGCAAGUCGAACGGCAGCGCGGACUUCGGUCUGGCGGCGAGUGGCGAACGGGUGAGUAAUAUAUCGGAACGUGCCCAGUAGCGGGGGAUAACUACGCGAAAGCGUGGCUAAUACCGCAUACGCCCGUACGGGGGAAAGGGGGGAUCGCAAGACCUCUCACUAUUGGAGCGGCCGAUAUCAGAUUAGCUAGUUGGUGAGGUAAAGGCUCACAAGGCGACGAUCUGUAGCUGGUUUGAGAGGACGACAGCCACA